GCAUAUCAAUAAGCGGAGGAAAAGAAACCAACAGGGAUUGCCUCAGUAACGGCGAGUGAAGCGGCAACAGCUCAAAUUUGAAAUCUGGCCUCUUUGGGGGUCCGAGUUGUAAUUUGUAGAGGAUGUUUCGGGUACCGCCCCGGUUUAAAUUUCUUGGAACAGAAUGUCAGAGAGGGUGAGAAUCCCGUCUUGGACCGGCGGUAGGGCUCAUGUGAAACUCCUUCGACGAGUCGAGUUGUUUGGGAAUGCAGCUCAAAAUGGGUGGUAAAUUUCAUCUAAAGCUAAAUAUUGGCCAGAGACCGAUAGCGCACAAGUAGAGUGAUCGAAAGAUGAAAAGCACUUUGAAAAGAGAGUUAAACAGUAUGUGAAAUUGUUGAAAGGGAAGCGCUUGCAAUCAGACUUGCGCGCGGCGGUUCCCCCUUCCUUUUGGUUGGGCUACUCCGCCGCGUCCAGGCCAACAUCGGUUCUGGGGGCCGGUUAAAGGCUCUGGGAAUGUAUCUACCCUUUUGGCGUAGACUUAUAGCCCAGGGUGUCAUGCGGCCUCCCGGGACCGAGGAACGCGCUUCGGCUCGGAUGUUGGCGUAAUGGUUGUCAGCGACCCGUCUUGAAACACGGACCAAGGAGUCUAACAUCUAUGCGAGUGUUUGGGUGUCAAACCCGGAACGCGUAAUGAAAGUGAACGGAGGUAGGAAGCUUCGGCUGCACUAUCGACCGAUCCUGAUGUCUUCGGAUGGAUUUGAGUAAGAGCAUAGCUGUUGGGACCCGAAAGAUGGUGAACUAUGCCUGAAUAGGGUGAAGCCAGAGGAAACUCUGGUGGAGGCUCGCAGCGGUUCUGACGUGCAAAUCGAUCGUCAAAUUUGGGUAUAGGGGCGAAAGACUAAUCGAACCAUCUGGUAGCUGGUUCCUG
rnacentral:rRNA from 1 species